ensembl:lincRNA
GAGGCGUCGGGCCGCCCCACAUGAUGUUUUUUUGGGAAAUAACUUACCUGCUGAGUGUGCAUCUUAGAGGCCUGCUGUAGCUUUGGCUUCAGAAAGGGUGUCAUUUGGCGCUUGGCCUGAGUCCGUGUUGCUCUCGGUCUCCUUGGGCGAGGCGUUUCCCCCUCCCACUCCUCCUCGGCCUCUUGCUAGUUCACAGAUGCAUCAACGCAUCCACUGUUAAUCUGGCCAAAUCAGUUACAAAUGUUACAGAUUGUAAUUACCCAAGGAACUCCUAAAACUAAUUAUGUAAUUUGCAAUCCCCACAAUAAAUUACACCUUUCCUUUGGCUUGAUGUUCCAGAAAACUGUUUUCUGAAGGAGGCAGAGAAAGAGUGUUGCUCAUCCCUGCCAGGAACUCUCACGAAGUGGCUCUUUAUUUAGCUCUGCGGAAUGUUUGUGGGUGUUUGUCAGAGGUGGCCACAGGCGCCGUGCCACGGCUCUGGGCGGCAGCCACAUCAUCUUUUGCCACCAGGGGGGAUUUUGCCAGAAUACCCAUGGGCCCGUGUCUUGUUCCACCACCAGGAGAAACUUCAGUUUCCUUGGGCAAGAGUCUGGGAGGCCAGAUUCGCAUUGAACCGACCACCUCCUCUCCUGGGAGGGCUGGAGGAGGGAGAGACAUGGUGUUCUUCAGCUGCGCAUCCAGCCCUGAGCCUGGCUUCUGCUGCAGCAGCAGAAGUGGCAGCAUCCCUUUGGAACUGGAGGAUGAACCUGCCUGCAUGGAGGAGGUUGAUUACAGUACAGACAGCAGCUCAGAACAGGAAGGGAACUUGUCUGAGUUGGACCGGAGGAUCCAGGAGUGUGCCUUCAAUAAGGACGAAGGAGAGGAAGAAGAGGAGGCACCGGGGCAGGGAGGAGAAGCCAUCCCAUAGCCCCGAGGUUCGCAGCAAGUUCUGUGUCUCCAACCAUUGGAUUGGACAGGCAGCCAUGUUGCUGCUGCUUCACGAUCAGACAUGCACAAUGUAUACGUCAGUGCAAAAAGCCAGCCUGUGUGAGCUCAGCAACCCCGUUUCCAGAUUUUGUUCUAGUUUCUCUAUGCAUAGAAGCUGGCCGCUUCAUAACAUUUAACAUGCACAUGUAGGUAGACCCUGGGGCCUAUGCAAGCUGCCAUCGUGCUUAGAAUGGGACUCAGCGUAUGUACGUAUACAACAAUCCUGCAUGAUCUGCACAUGUACCCCAGAACCUAAAGUGCAAUUAAUUAAAAAAAAAAAAGAAAUGUGGCCAAACAAACAUUACUGUACAAUAGUUCCUCCUUAUUAAUCCCAAAUUAAUCCCAAGGCUUCUAUGAGAACUCCUGGAAGUAGGCGCUCUCUUUUCAUGGUUAUUUCUAUGGUAGAAUAUAUCCAAGUUGAUUAUAUCCUUGCCAUAUAACAUAAUAGCAUAUACCUGAAUCUUUUCCAGUACUGAAAAAUGGCAUCUAAUUGCUCCAAUUGCAUUGCUCUGGUUACUAGUAAAUGUGAAUAUCUUCAUUAAAACAAACAAACAAGAACGGGACUCAACGGGUAACCUCAAGAUUACCACGGAUCCUUUCAAGAUUGUUCUGUUAUUCUCCAUUCCUGCGCUUGAAACUGGAGCAAGCUGGAAGUGGAGGAGUUGGGUUUCUUCCUGGCUUCUCAGCGAGAAUUCUAAGUGGUUAUUUAAGUUGUUCCAUGUAUGAGUGUCAUCUUCUACUGUUAUUUCCCCACCAUAGCAUUUGAGCUCCCCAGAGCAAACCGUGAGCCCCACGGAGACGCUGGGGAUCCUGGCAGGGUCUUCAGGUGCCGGGUGCUUAAACAGGAGAAACCGUGCACCCAAGUACUUGCAGGUUUCAUCUGUGAUCUCUUAUACGUGGUACAAGCCAGAAGCUGCGCUGGACUCUAAGAAAUAAGACGUGGUCACUGGUCUUCACAGAUUUUAGGAUCCUGUGUAUUCAGACCACCAAACAUCGUGCUGGGAAGCAGAAAGACCUACUGGAAAAUUUAUUCAUUUCAGAAUCAGACAGAUGUGGUUCAUAUCCUGUAUCUGGCAGUUGCUUGUUAUGACAACUUAGAAAAGUAAUUAAGUUUCCGUAAACUUCAGUUUUCAUAUAUAUAAAAUGUUGAUAAGGAUACCUAUAUCAUAAAGUUAUUGUAGGAUGAAAUGAGAUAAUAUAUAAAAGUCUACAGCUUAAGCAUUUGGAAAACAACAUUGGCUUAUUUUUCUUCAUAACACAAACAGAACAUUCUAUAUAAGAAUUCUGACAGUUAAAAAAAAAUUCUCACCAACCUGGCCAAUGGGGUGAAACCCCAUCUGUACUAAACUCCAUUUCUACAAAAAUUAGCCAGGCAUGGUGGCACAUGCCUGUGAUCACAGCUGUUUGGGAGAGUGAGACAGGAGAAUUGAUUGAACCUGGGAGGUGGAGGUUGCAGUGAGUGGAAAUCCCGCCACUGCACUCCAGCCUGGGUGACAGAGUGAGACUCUGUCUCAAAAAGAAAACAAAAAAAUUCUCUGGGGUCACAUGGUAGGAAAUAUGCCCUCUUACUGGAAGGGAGCUGAGAAGAAGAUUACACAGGAGCAGAACCUGGGAGGUUGGAAUGACUUCAAACAGAUGAAAAUAGAGCAAAGCCUUUCGGCAUUCAGAAGCAAGUGCUUAGAUAUUUGAAUAAUGAAAUGUACACGACCUGUGAAGAAGGGAUGAGAACGGACAACAAAGGCAGUGGUAAAAUGAGAGGUAGAAUAUGCUAGGUCAAAUUUAGGCUGUUUUAGAUGUCAUAUGUAUUUAGUUAAAAUUAGGUUUUGCUGCAAGAGAUGGACAACUUAUCAUGGUAGCGGCUUUUAUAAGGCGUAAGUUUAUUUCUCUUUCCUGUGGAAUUCUCCACGCUGGAAUACCAGCCCUAGUGUCAUGGCUGCACGGUGUGAGAGACCUGGCUUCUGCAGUUUUCUGGCUCUACUAUGUAUUGCUUCUACUCUUGGUCUAGAAUGGCUGCUGAAGCACCAGCCAUUGCUUCGGCAUCCCAGACAGCAGCAAGAAGAACACAAAAAGAAGCGCCCAUUUUCUAUCUUUCCAAAAGCUAUACGUAAUAUUUCUGCUUAAUCUCAUGAGCUGAAAAAAUGGGCCUAUGACCACAGGAAGCAGCAAGAGAGGUUAGAAAACACAGUCUUAAUAUGAGGUGGGCCCAGCUAAAACUCAAAGUUUGAAGUAAAAGUCUGAAUACCAAGGGAAAAGAUAAUAAUGGAUAUUGGGGGAUUACAUAUCUGCCAAAGAGACUUCUCCGGAUGUUCCAAACACCACCAAGAGAGUUUUGGAAAUAGAAUAAUUUCAGAUGAAACUCAUAGCACACACCUCAUGACCGGCAGAAAGCCACAGAGCAAAACUUUGCCAUAGAUUAGCUCCACGGCAUAGAAGAAGGGCAUCUAUGUUGUGAUUCGGGUAGCCGAUGGCAUUAUUGACAGUCUCUUAUUUUUUUUAACUGUUUUCCAAAUUUCCUUGCUGUAGUUCAGAAAUUGCACGUCCAUUCUUGUAUCUUUCUGUAACAUAUGCAAGAAAUUUGAAGAUUAGCAAAGAUACUGAAAGUGAAACCAAGCACUAUCUAUCUCUUAGCUCCUCCUGUAUUUCAUCUUUCCACUCUUAAAUAAAGGCUGUGGGUCAUGCACUUUACUAAGCUCUACGGAUGCAGAUAAGAAAGACCCAUUUUGUGCCCUCAGUAAUCAGAGAAAGAACAAAAAAAAUGCUAAUUUAAUGCAGUGUGGACCAUGACUUUAUGGAACUAUGCAAAGAGUAUUGCAAAAAUACCUAAUGUAAUGGGGGUGGCGGUUGUGGUAAAAGACUACCAAAAAGAAGUCAUGAUUUAGGUGAUUUUUGAAGAAUGCACAGGAAUUUUCAGGUACAAAGGGAGAAAAGACACGCAAAGAAGUGGAAAGAUUUUGUGCAAAGGCCCUGUGGUAGAGUGAGAGCUUGAAAUAAUAUGUUCCGUGUGACGCCGCAUGUUCCGACUCAUAAGUGUGAGUUGGACAAUGAGAACACAU